GAACUGAAGAGUUUGAUCAUGGCUCAGAUUGAACGCUGGCGGCAGGCCUAACACAUGCAAGUCGAGCGGUAGAGAGAAGCUUGCUUCUCUUGAGAGCGGCGGACGGGUGAGUAAUGCCUAGGAAUCUGCCUGGUAGUGGGGGAUAACGUUCGGAAACGGACGCUAAUACCGCAUACGUCCUACGGGAGAAAGCAGGGGACCUUCGGGCCUUGCGCUAUCAGAUGAGCCUAGGUCGGAUUAGCUAGUUGGUGAGGUAAUGGCUCACCAAGGCGACGAUCCGUAACUGGUCUGAGAGGAUGAUCAGUCACACUGGAACUGAGACACGGUCCAGACUCCUACGGGAGGC
rnacentral:rRNA from 1 species